GUGCGUGGUGGCACGUGCCUUUAAUCCCAGCACUCAGGAGGCAGAGGCAGGCGGAUUUCUGAGUUCGAGGCCAACCUGGUCUACAAAAUGAGUUCCAGGACAGCCAGGGCUACACCGAAAAACCAAAAAAAAAAAAAAAAAAGUUUAUCUGCUUAUUCUUUUGUACAUAUUUAGUGUUUGUCUUUUAUGUAUGUCUGUGUGAGGGAGUUGUAUCCACUGGACCUUGAGUUACAGACAGUUGUGAGCUAUCCUAUGUGGGUGCUGGGAACUGACCCCAGGUUCUCUGGAGCUCCCCAGCCUACAUUCUUUCUUUCUUUUUCUUUCUUUUUUUCUGCCCCCCCACCCCACACACACACAGCUCAUCAUCCCAUUUCUCCUCCACCCUGUCUCCAACAAAAUGCCUCCACCCGCACCUCACCGCCACCUCCACCCUUCUGCCAGGCCUCCCCACCCCCUAGGGCCUCAAGUCUCUCCAGCUAGGUUAGGCACAUCAUCUCUCAUUGAGGCCAGACCAGGCAGUCCUCUGCUGUAUAUGUAUAUAUAACUGCCUCGGAUCAGCUAAUUAUUCCUGUCAAAAAGAACUGCAGGGACAAAAAUGGAGGAGAGACUGAGGGAAAGGAGGUCCUUUGAGGGGCAAAGGCAGGAGGAUCCUAAGUUCCAGACUAGCCUGAACUACAUAGCAAGGUUGUAAUAACAAGAAGGUGGUAAUGGGAAGAAUUCUUAGAAAUCACAUGGCUAGGCUAGUAUGUAAGAUCUGUUAAAUUUAAGAUUACAACUGCCUGGUCCUUCUUCCUUUUGGAAAGUGUCUGUACUCACUUGUGAUCUAUAUAUUGAGCAUUUGUUUAAGGAUUUCCUGAGAAGUCCACACAUUCUUCUAUAGUCAGAAAUCUGUUUUAUACCUAUCUUAAUGUUGGGGAUAUAGAACCAUUGUACCAUUGUAUUGGUACACAUGGGCUUAUACUACCCUCUACUGGCAAGUGACAGUCUUGAGCAGAGGCAGUUCAGUUUCAUAGUCCAUCUUCCUAAGGGUGUAACUGUAAGCUUCCUUUCUAGUGUAGCCCAGAACCACAGCGAGAGAGCACCAGAAUCGCAACUGUCAUUUCCCUUUUCAUUGUGGUGCUACCAUAACCUUGAUACUUGGCUCUCAGCACUCCCGUUCUCUGCAGCAAGCCCACCAUCCAUUCUAGUUUUAUUUCUCUUUAGAAUUAUUCUUCCUAACUUUGAACUCUGACAGACUCCAGUCCUAGCCACCAUUAUGUUUACUGGAUCCACACCUGCAAGAAAGACAAACAAUUUGGGCAUGUGAGUGUUUUAAUUAUUUUCUCUUUUUUCUUGUUUUUCAGUGAAAAGCAGGAAGAAAACUCCUUGACAUCUGACCUACAGACAAGAAAUGGUAAUGAUAUUUGUUGCUGUCUCUCAGCAUGAUUCAUACAUAUAUUACAGUCAUACAUUGUAUUAGGAUGAUUCCAACUGCCUCCAGCUUGUUGCUCCCUGUUUCAUCCUUUCCCCUGCCAUCCAUCUCAGACACUUAAGAUGAGAACUAGUUCUGUUCUGUCACCUGCCACAGUAUAUGCCACAGACAUUUGCGUAGACAAGCAGUUAGGGACCUGGAAAGGAUUGAAUGCAUGCAUGUUUGUAUAUACAUACACACAUAAAUGCAUUAUUAGAUUUUAGUUUUUUGAGUCAAGGUUUCUCUGUGUGUAGCCCUGGCUUUCUUCGAACUGACUCUAUAGACCAGCUUGACACCUGCCUUUGCCUUCCAAGUGCUGCGAUUAAAGGAAUAUGCCACACCUCACCUUGAUUAGAUCUUAAUUCUGUAUCCAAAAGUUUUAAAUUUGGAAGGAAAUAGCCAAUUUGUACACAAUCUCAGUUUCAAAACCAUUUUUCUAGAAAAAUAAUAUAUUUUUAACCAUUUCUAGAAUGUUAAAUUUUUCUUUAAAUCACAAUAAGAGGGGUUUUGUUGUUGUUUUGGGUUUUUCCUUGUUUGUUUUUGCUAGGCAUUUGUCUGGUUACAAACAAUGAUAAUAAUAGGAAAACUAAAAGUAUAAUAAUCACAGCACUUUGAGGCAGAGGUAGGCAAGUUUAAGGCCAGUCUAGUCUAUAAUGAGACCCCACCCCCCCAAAAAAAAAGUAUAUAUUAUUUUCUAGACACUGGGUGAAGUGCUUGUAAUCCCAAUGCUUUUGGGGCUGAGGCAGGAGGUUUACUUAGUCUCUGGAGUUCAACACUUUCAUAGGCAACAUAUUGAGGUCCUAUUCUAUGAAAGAAAAGAGCGUGCUAUCAGACUUGAGAAGAUUAGCAGCUCCUUUUUUAUGAUUCCUCUGUUUGAGUCAUGACCCAGGGUAAUAGGAACAAAAGUCUAGUGUAGGCUCUAUUUUAGUGAAUCCAUCCAUUUUCUGUAGGAUCCCGAGGGCCAGGCCAAGGUACUUGGUGGCUCCUGUGUCAAACAGAAGAAGAAUGGAGACAGGUCACUGAGAGCUUCCGAGAGCGGACCUCUCUCCGAGAGCGGCAACUCUACAAGCUCCUUAGCGAGGACUUCCUGCCUGAAAUUUGCAACAUGAUUGCCCAGAAGGUAGGUCCUGCCUACUGCUCAGGCCCAUGCUGUUCCUUCCUGAUAGGACUGGGUGUUAAUGUAGGAGCUGUGUGGACCUGCUUUCCCUAUCCUGGUGUCAUUUAUGAUGUUUCUAAGUCCAUGGCUAAUGCCUGCAGUCUUUACAAUGGCUUUUUGCAAACUGGAACCAGCUUUCUUGUUUUCCUAUUACUUUUACUAGAAAACUUGGCCCAAGUUUGCUCUCUCCCACACUCCAAGAAAAAUGAUCGUUUUAGGAAUUAACCUAUUUCGCCCUCACAAUGUCAGCCUUUGAACAUUUGUCCCUAUAGACCUGUGAAAGUUCCUCACCUGACUACACCUGAGCUGUUUUGUAGUUUCUCUGACCUGAGUGUAAACUUUACGAACUAUAUUUCAGUCUACAUACACCCUAUACAUGACAUUUUCAAGUAAAUAACUUUGUGCCCCCCUUUUCAUGUUUUGGAUGUUAUUCAAAAUUGUGGCUCGGGGGUUAGAAGUGCAUGCAUGUUGCUUUUGCAGAGAACCCAAAUUCAAUUCAGUUCCCAGCACCCAUGUUUGGUGACUCAAAACUAUUUGUAGUUCGAGCUCUAGGCUCAUACUGAACUCUGUGAGUACUUACACUCAUGUGCACUCUAUCUUUGUCUGUGUCAAUCCCCCCACACAUACACACACAUUUUGUUAAGCCCCACUUAGAGCUCCAUCUGAUGACACUGGAGUCUUGGCGUUCAAUGAUUUAUUCCUUAGUAUUUUUAUUUAUUUAUAAUAUACAAUGGUAAUACCCCUCUUCUAGGUCAUCCUCUUAUGUUUCUGUCUUUUUGUAUUGUUUUUUGUUUUUUAUGGCCCACUGCAUAAAACUUCCUUCAUUGGGUAGAGAUUUAUGUAACUGAGCAACAGCAGUUUAUCACUGUCUUUACCCCUGAUGAUUAUGACUCUUCUUCUAUCAACCAUUUGCUGCCUAUAGCUCUUCAAGUAGGGACUGAUAAAUCCAGUGACACGGAUUGGAGAAAACAGGCAUACCUGCCCUCCUGCCACACCCCCUCCCCUGCCCCAGCUAUCAGUUGCAAAUAGCUUCUUAGUUAGAAGUGGGACUGUCCACAUAAUGGCUCACAACCAUCUGUACAGCUACAAUGUACUCAUAUAUACGUAAAAAAAAAAAAAAGAGAGAGAAGUGGGACUUUUCCUCCGGGCUUAGACUUUGUUGAUUCCUGUGUCUGCUUGUUUGUACUAGCAUGUGAGAGCUACCUCCACACCAAAUAAAAAAUACAUUGUAAUCCAUCAAGUCAAGGCUAAAUUUUGACUAUAAUGUUAAUAUUGCUAUUUUCGAUAUAACAGCAACAAAUUUGUUUUUGCAAAACUAGAGAUUGGCUCUAGGGCCUUAAGUGUGCCAGGCAAGUGCUCUCCUCACUGAGCUGAAUCUAAAGCCUCUA
rnacentral:lncRNA from 1 species